CCAAGAAGCUUCGACUAAGGUUCGACUCGAGCGAAGCGAGAGAACGUUGCCGCAGGCAACGGCCCGAAGGGCGAGGCGCUUUAGCGCCGAGUAAUCCUUCCCCCACCACCA
rnacentral:sRNA from 2 species